GUGAUUGUAGGGUUGUGGUGCAUCCAGACGAAUCCAGACAGUCGCCGUCCAGGUAAGUAUGUUGCUCAGUUGCACGUAGCUUCUGUUACACACAACUUUCCCCUUCUCCAACUUCCCUUUCUUCCAAUGUGGUAUUACUAACAAACUAGGAGAAUAUCAAAGGCCCCCAUGUUCUCUCGUCAACCAUAUGAAUGUACUUGAAAAAAUGCUAGUUCUGGGCCCGAGUAAUCAUUGAUUACAAUCCAUAAACUGGGUAUCAAGUAUUAAAACAUUGAAAUUAAAAGGAAUAUAACCUUUGUAAAGGAGGUCAGACACCAAAUCUAGGGGGGGAGCAUGAAGAUUCCCACGCUGGAAACUACAAUGGUGACU
rnacentral:lncRNA from 1 species